rnacentral:rRNA from 1 species
CAGUAGCGUAUAUUAAAGUUGUUGCAGUUAAAAAGCUCGUAGUUGGAUUUCUGGCGUGCUGCGCCCGACCUGCGGUCGUAAGAUCGUGCGUGUUGGUUGCGCGGCUGCCAUCCUUCUGGAAACCGCUCCUACCCUUUACUGGGCCGGGAGCGAGUUCCAGAUCCUUUACUUUGAAAAAAUUAGAGUGUUUAAAGCAGGCAUUGUCGCUGUGAAUACAUUAGCAUGGAAUAAUAAUAUAGGACUUUGGUUCUAUUUUGUUGGUUUCUAGAACUAAAGUAAUGAUUGAUAGGGAUAGUUGGGGGUGCUAGUAUUCAAAGGCCAGAGGUGAAAUUCUGUGAUUCUUUGAAGACUAACUUAUGCGAAAGCAUUCACCAAGGAUGUCUUCUUUAAUCAAGAACGAAAGUUGGGGGAUCGAAGACGAUUAGAUACCAU